rnacentral:tRNA from 1 species
GCACCAGUAAUAUAGCGGUCAGUAUGAUGGCUUCCCAAGCCGUUCACCCGGGUUCAAAUCCCGGCUGGUGCA